UCGAGUAUUUCUUCUGGCAAGCCA
rnacentral:siRNA from 1 species